GAUGAACGCUAGCGGAGGCUUAAACAUGCAAGUCAGGGGCAGCAUAGGGUAGCAAUACUCUGGAUGGCGACCGGCAAACGGGUGAGUAACGCGUAUGUAACCUACCCUGUACAGGGGGAUAACCCGGAGAAAUUCGGACUAAUAUCCCAUAACAAUAUCCGGGGGCAUCUUUGGAUAUUUAAAAGUUCCGGCGGUACGGGAUGGGCAUGCGUAACAUUAGCUAGUUGGUAAGGUAACGGCUUACCAAGGCUUUGAUGUUUAGGGGUCCUGAGAGGGUGGUCCCCCACACUGGUAACUGAGACACGGACCAGACUCCUACGGGAGGCAGCAGUGAGGAAUAUUGGUCAAUGGGCGCAAGCCUGAACCAGCCAUCCCGCGUGCAGGAAGACGGCGCUAUGCGUUGUAAACUGCUUUUCCAGGGAGAGAAACUUGCGCACGUGUUGCGCAAUUGACGGUACCCUGGGAAUAAGCAUCGGCUAACUCCGUG
rnacentral:rRNA from 1 species